rnacentral:rRNA from 1 species
CUUGCUAAGUUUGAUGGCGACCGGCGCACGGGUGAGUAACACGUAUCCAACCUGCCGAUGACUCGGGGAUAGCCUUUCGAAAGAAAGAUUAAUACCCGAUGGCAUAGUUCUUCCGCAUGGUAGAACUAUUAAAGAAUUUCGGUCAUCGAUGGGGAUGCGUUCCAUUAGGUUGUUGGCGGGGUAACGGCCCACCAAGCCUUCGAUGGAUAGGGGUUCUGAAAGGAAGGUCCCCCACAUUGGAACUGAGACACGGUCCAAACUCCUACGGGAGGCAGCAUG